GAUUUCUGGUCUGACGCGCCUGGCCCGCUGGGGUUACCUGGUGAGUGCCGGUGCGCGUCUACCAUCCUUCUAGAAAACAGCCUUGCCCUUCACUGGGUGGAGGUUGCGAUCUAGAUCUUUUACUUUGAAAAAAUUAGAGUGUUUAAAGCAGGCUUACGCUAUGAAUACAUUAGCAUGGAAUAAUAAUUUAGGACUUCGGUCUCUAUUUUGUUGGUUUCUAGAGCUGAAGUAAUGAUUGAUAGGGAUAGUUGGGGGUGCUAGUAUUCAGCGGCCAGAGGUGAAAUUCUUGGAUUCGCUGAAGACUAACUUAUGCGAAAGCAUU
rnacentral:rRNA from 3 species